rnacentral:rRNA from 1 species
ACGGGUGAGUAACACGUGGGUAACCUGCCCAAGAGACUGGGAUAACACCUGGAAACAGAUGCUAAUACCGGAUAACAACACUAGACGCAUGUCUAGAGUUUAAAAGAUGGUUCUGCUAUCACUCUUGGAUGGACCUGCGGUGCAUUAGCUAGUUGGUAAGGUAACGGCUUACCAAGGCAAUGAUGCAUAGCCGAGUUGAGAGACUGAUCGGCCACAUUGGGACUGAGACACGGCCCAAACUCCUACGGGAGGCAGCAGUAGGGAAUCUUCCACAAUGGACGCAAGUCUGAUGGAGCAACGCCGCGUGAGUGAAGAAGGGUUUCGGCUCGUAAAGCUCUGUUGGUAGUGAAGAAAGAUAGAGGUAGUAACUGGCCUUUAUUUGACGGUAAUUACCUAGAAAGUCACGGCUAACUACGUGCCAGCAGCCGCGGUAAUACGUAGGUGGCAAGCGUUGUCCGGAUUUAUUGGGCGUAAAGCGAGUGCAGGCGGUUCAAUAAGUCUGAUGUGAAAGCCUUCGGCUCAACCGGAGAAUUGCAUCAGAAACUGUUGAACUUGAGUGCAGAAGAGGAGAGUGGAACUCCAUGUGUAGCGGUGGAAUGCGUAGAUAUAUGGAAGUACACCAGUGGCGAAGGCGGCUCUCUGGUCUGCAACUGACGCUGAGGCUCGAAAGCAUGGGUAGCGAACAGGAUUAGAUACCCUGGUAGUCCAUGCCGUAAACGAUGAGUGCUAAGUGUUGGGAGGUUUCCGCCUCUCAGUGCUGCAGCUAACG